rnacentral:lncRNA from 1 species
UUUUAGUCUUUUUUUAAUUUGAAUAAAUGCCAAAUAAAUUUGUUGACCAAUUGUGAUGACUUGUUUAUGUUUGACUCUUGUUGUUGGGCCUUGGUCAAGGUUGAUUUGACUUUGUCAAAUUAAUUUCAUUGGAUUUAGGGGAUUGAUGGAAUGUACAUUCCAUCUCCCAAAAUGAAUGGAUGAUAUUAAUUUGGUACAUUCCUUGACCAAGUUGUGUUUUGAUCCAUUCCCCUCCCUCUUCAUCUCAUUCCCCUUCUUU